rnacentral:rRNA from 1 species
CCUACGGGUGGCAGCAGUAGGGAAUUUUCGGCAAUGGGGGGAACCCUGACCGAGCAACGCCGCGUGAACGAAGACGUUAUUCGUAAUGUACAGUUCUUUUAACAGGGAAGAAAGAGAAAUUUGACGGUACCUGAAGAAUAAGCUCCGGCUAACUACGUGCCAGCAGCCGCGGUAAUACGUAGGGAGCGAGCGUUAUUCGGAAUUAUUGGUCGUAAAGGGUUCGUAGAUGGCAUAGUAAGUCUUUUGUAAAAAUGCUGGGCUCAACACAGUAGGGCAAAAGAUACUGCAAAGAUAGAGUAUGACAGAGGCAAGUGGAACUACAGGGGGAGCGGUAAGAGGCGUAAAUAUAUGUAAG